GGACGACGCUGGACGGCGUGCCUAAUACAUGCAAGUCGAACGGUCUUUUCUAUGGAAGCUUGCUUCCACUGAGAAGAUAGUGGCGAACGGGUGAGUAACACGUGGGUAACCCUGCCCAUAAGAGGGGGAUAACAUCCGGAAACGAGUGCUAAUACCGCAUAGUUUUCUUGAUCGCAUGAUCGGGAAAGGAAAGACGGCCUUUGUGCUGUCGCUUAUGGAUGGACCCGCGGCGUAUUAGUUAGUUGGUGAGGUAACGGCUCACCAAGACGAUGAUACGUAGCCGACCUGAGAGGGUGAUCGGCCACAUUGGGACUGAGACACGGCCCAAACUCCUACGGGAGGCAGCAGUAGGGAAUCUUCCGCAAUGGACGAAAGUCUGACGGAGCAACGCCGCGUGAGUGAAGAAGGUUUUCGGAUCGUAAAACUCUGUUGUCAGAGAAGAACAAGUUGGAGAGUAACUGCUCCAGCCUUGACGGUAUCUGACCAGAAAGCCACGGCUAACUACGUG
rnacentral:rRNA from 1 species